CAAGUCGGACGGCAGCACGGGUACUUGUACCUGGUGGCGAGUGGCGGACGGGUGAGUAAUGCUUAGGAAUCUACCAUGAAGUGGGGGACAACACGAGGAAACUCGUGCUAAUACCGCAUAUGUUUUUAAAGUAAAGAUGGCCUCUACUUGUAAGCUAUCGCUUCAUGAUGAGCCUAAGUCGGAUUAGCUUGUUGGUGGGGUAAAGGCCUACCAAGGCGACGAUCCGUAGCUGGUCUGAGAGGAUGAUCAGCCACACUGGGACUGAGACACGGCCCAGACUCCUACGGGAGGCAGCAGCGGGGAAUAUUGGACAAUGGGGGCAACCCUGAUCCAGCGAUGCCGCGUGUGUGAAGAAGGCCUGAGGGUUGUAAAGCACUUUAGUUGGGGAGGAGAUUACGCAUGUGAAUAAUGUGCGUAUGAGACGUUACCCAAAGAAUAAGCACCGGCUAACUCUGUGCCAGCAGCCGCGGUAAUACAGAGGGUGCAAGCGUUAAUCGGAGUUACUGGGCGUAAAGGGCGCGUAGGCGGUAGAUUAAGUCAGUUGUGAAAGCCCAGGGCUCAACCUUGGAACUGCAAUUGAUACUGGUCAACUAGAGUCGAAGAGAGGGAAGCGGAAUUUCCGGUGUAGCGGUGAAAUGCGUAGAUAUCGGAAGGAACACCCGUGGCGAAGG
rnacentral:rRNA from 1 species